rnacentral:tRNA from 1 species
AUAGCUCAGCUGGAUAGAGCACCUGCCUUCUAAGCAGGCGGUCGAAGGUUCGAAUCCUUCU